CAAUAGCGUAUAUUAAAGUUGUUGCAGUUAAAAAGCUCGUAGUCGGAUUUCGGGUCGGGCCGAGCGGUCUGCCGAUGGGUAUGCACUGUUUGGCGCGGCCUUCUUUCCGGAGACCGCGGCUACUCUUAACUGAGCGGGCGUGGGAGACGGAUCGUUUACUUUGAAAAAUCAGAGUGUUUCUAGCAGGCAGCUCGCUCUUGCAUAGGUUAGCAUGGGAUAAUUUAAUAGGACUCUGGUGCUAUUUUGUUGGUUUCGAACACCGGAGUAAUGAUUAAUAGGGAUAGUUGGGGGUAUUCGUAUUCAAGUGUCAGAGGUGAAAUUCUUGGAUUUCUGGAAGACGAACUACUGCGAAAGCAUUUUACCAAGGAUGUUUUCAUUAAUCAAGAACGAAAGUUAGGGGAUCGAAGACGAUCAGAUACCGU
rnacentral:rRNA from 1 species